rnacentral:tRNA from 1 species
GGUAGGGUGGCCGAGGUAGGCGGCAAGUUGUAGCCUUGUUUACGGGGUAAAGUCCCCCUCUUCCA